AUGCCAAGGCUAGGUGACCCGCACUCCAGGCCGGCCAUGGGGCGGGUGGUCGCGCCGACCACGCCUGAGAUGGAGGUGCAAGCUGCCGCCCUCACCACCAACUGCGUCCUCAUCACUCUGGGAGGUGACCGCCGUCCAGCUCCAACUUCAUCCGUCGCCGAGGCGCUGCACAAGGAGUUCAACAUCCCGCUGUCCAUGGUCACUGUCGUUCGACACUUCCCCGAGGACUACCUUGCAACGUUCACGCAUCCUCACCACCGCGACGACGUCGUCAACAGAGGAAACUUUCGGCGCGGCCACCUCGAGCUCCACCCCAAGCCCUGGAUCAUGGAGGCCCAUGCCGAGCACGAAGACAUGAAGCAUCACGUGCAGCUGAGCCUGGAGGGCGUCCCGCUGCAUGCCUGGAACUCCGACACGAUCAGCCGUGUCAUCGGCGUCGACUGCGAGCUGGACUAUGUCCUGCCCCGCUCCACGCGCCAGGAGGAUGCCAGGACGCUGGGCAUCUGGGCUUGGGCGACAAACCCAUGUGCCAUCCCGCGCGUCAUGCACCUCACGCUGCCGGCGAGGCGUGGCCCGCAGCGGGUGCCGGCACGGGGGAGGCGCCGUCUUCGAUACCGCGUCAUCAUCCACUUGGGCCUCCACGAGGACUUCUCCAACGUACGCGACNGCGACUCCAGAGCCAGCGCAGACAUCUACGAGCACACAUGGGUCCAUGGCAUCGUCGACGGCGACCGUGUGCCGACGGAGCGCCGGGAAGAGCCCCGGGACGACCUGGGGCGUGGACGGCGCCGCGACGACGAAGAUGACGAUGCCGCGCGUCGUGGACGCGGCGAGGCGCGCGAGCUUGACGGCCGGGGCUCGAGGUGGUUCGGCCGCAGCCGGUCUCGCGCCUCCCGUGAUGAGACUCGUGACCGCGGCGGCGACCAAGGCCGCGGCGCCAACGACGGUCGUGUGGGGCGCGAUGGCCAUCGCCGCCGGGGUUCUGCGGUGGAUUCUUCGGCGAGUCCAGUGCGCAGCCCUCGCGGCGGCUCUUCCCGCUGCACCCACCCCCUCGACGCGGCACGCUCCACAUCCCCAACAUCGGUUCUCCCAACCCCGCCGUCGCCUGUGGACGCGAUCACCCCGAGCUUCAGCAUCGCCCUGCAACUCCUGGCGCCCCUAUCGCCCUCUGCUGUGGUGGCCACGACAACUCCUCCACGUCCGCCUGGCUUUGAGGAGUCUCCGGCUCAGGUCACGCCUCCCCUGGCCUCCGGCGUGCUCGCUAGCCCCACCCCCUCGCCAGCGAGCAACUCCAACAACAUACUGGCGCCCCUCUUUGUGCUGCCAGAGGCUCCGAUCUUGCCUGGGCCUGUCCGUGCCCCGCCCGGGAACCGUGCAAACCGGAGAAAGACGAUGGCUGGCGUGGCCAUUGACCCGGGGUUCUCCCUGCGCCGCACCACUACUCAUGCCAAGGAGCGUCGUGUUGCUGUUCCGGUGACGAGGGAGGCCGAGAAGCUGGUUUGUCGGAGCCUCGGGAUAGUCCAAGAUGGCAAGGAUGUCACCAAAGACGCUCUGGAAGAGCUGAGUCGCCGCUUCCAGCACGAAUUGUCGCCCUCGGUUCUGUCCGCGCUCCGGGCAUUGUUCAAGCUCGACGACGACGAAGCCACAGCGAUUGAAGACGCCCUGAUCAGCCGCGGAGGUCAGGCUGCCAUGGACCACGAGAUUGUUGCUGCUGAUGCAACAGGAGAGGUCUGA
rnacentral:rRNA from 1 species